UUUAUUGGAGAGUUUGAUCCUGGCUCAGGAUGAACGCUGGCGGCGUGCCUAAUACAUGCAAGUCGAGCGAAUGGAUUGAGAGCUUGCUCUCAAGAAGUUAGCGGCGGACGGGUGAGUAACACGUGGGUAACCUGCCCAUAAGACUGGGAUAACUCCGGGAAACCGGGGCUAAUACCGGAUAGCAUUUUGAACUGCAUGGUUCGAAAUUGAAAGGCGGCUUCGGCUGUCACUUAUGGAUGGACCCGCGUCGCAUUAGCUAGUUGGUGAGG
rnacentral:rRNA from 1 species